UUUCAAAGUGUUCUCUUCUCUGUGCUGUUCUAGAAAAAAGAAAAGAGAGAGAUUGUAAACUAAAUAAAUACUUCAGUCCUUAUUCAAUCAAACAAAUCCUUUAUGGCAGGUGUCUAAUGAGUUAUAAAUUUUUGGAAAUAGAUGAGGAGGCUAUAAUGGUUUCCAUCAGUGGAAACGCCAGAGUCUGUACUGUCACUGUUAUCAAGAGUGGGGCUAAAAUCUACGGAGAUUGUUUACUGCAACUUUAAAAUGAGUCCAUUUCACACAAACAAUUUCAGCCAAGUGUUCAGACUGACAUCUUCAAUUGCUGGUACAUGCAACACCCAAAAUAAUCAAGUAAAUGUUUUCAAUAUUAAACA
rnacentral:lncRNA from 1 species